UACGAAGGGGGCUAGCGUUGUCCGGAAUCAUUGGGCGUAAAGAGCGUGUAGGCGGCUUGGUAAGUCCGCUGUGAAAGUCCAGGGCUCAACCCUGGAAUGCCGGUGGAAACUGUCAAGCUUGAGUCCGGAAGAGGCGAGUGGAAUUCCUGGUGUAGCGGUGAAAUGCGCAGAUAUCAGGAGGAACACCAAUGGCGAAGGCAGCUCGCUGGGACGGUACUGACGCUGAGACGCGAAAGCGUGGGGAGCAAACAGG
rnacentral:rRNA from 1 species